CUGAAGAUGCUUCAUACCAAGAUCCUUCUUCACUUCCAAGUAAACCUCGUAGAUAUUCAGCAAUCUUUCCUUCUUCUUCUAAUGAGCGUGAGCCCUAACGAGAUUGAAUCGUUUCAGACCGUGUCACCUCGAGUGACAUGUUGCGAAUUCUCACUUGCACAAAGAAAAACAAUAAAAAAUGUAAAAAGUAACUGUGAAAGAAAAAAUUUAAAAUGGA
rnacentral:lncRNA from 1 species